AGGUAGAGGUGCAUAGGUCAAGAGUAAUCAUGCUGAGGAAGUGUAUUUCCGUAAAAGGCUUGAUGAAAGGGGCUGUUGCCGAAGGGUUUUUCCGAUACACAGAAAGAGCCCUGGGGGUGCUGUAAAUAACAGUACAACUGUCAUCGAAAGAUGAAGCGCUAUCG
rnacentral:ncRNA from 1 species